rnacentral:rRNA from 1 species
AGCAGUAGCCACGGUAAUACGUAGGUGGCAAGCGUUGUCCGGAAUUAUUGGGCGUAAAGCGCGCGCAGGCGGAUCAGUCAGUCUGUCUUAAAAGUUCGGGGCUUAACCCCGUGAUGGGAUGGAAACUGCUGAUCUAGAGUAUCGGAGAGGAAAGUGGAAUUCCUAGUGUAGCGGUGAAAUGCGUAGAUAUUAGGAAGAACACCAGUGGCGAAGGCGACUUUCUGGACGAAAACUGACGCUGAGGCGCGAAAGCCAGGGGAGCGAACGGGAUUAGAUACCCGAGUAGUCCCUGUCUCUUAUACA